rnacentral:tRNA from 1 species
CGGGAGUCAUUGGUUCAAAUCCAAUAGUAGGUA